AACGCUAGCUACAGGCUUAACACAUGCAAGUCGAGGGGCAUCAGGAAGAAAGCUUGCUUUCUUUGCUGGCGACCGGCGCACGGGUGAGUAACACGUAUCCAACCUGCCGAUGACUCGGGGAUAGCCUUUCGAAAGAAAGAUUAAUACCCGAUGGUAUAUCUGAAAGGCAUCUUUCAGCUAUUAAAGAAUUUCGGUCAUUGAUGGGGAUGCGUUCCAUUAGGUUGUUGGCGGGGUAACGGCCCACCAAGCCAUCGAUGGAUAGGGGUUCUGAGAGGAAGGUCCCCCACAUUGGAACUGAGACACGGUCCAAACUCCUACGGGAGGCAGCAGUGAGGAAUAUUGGUCAAUGGACGAGAGUCUGAACCAGCCAAGUAGCGUGAAGGAUGACUGCCCUAUGGGUUGUAAACUUCUUUUAUACGGGAAUAAAGUUAGGCACGUGUGCCUUUUUGUAUGUACCGUAUGAAUAAGGAUCGGCUAACUCCGUGCCAGCAGCCGCGGUAAUACGGAGGAUCCGAGCGUUAUCCGGAUUUAUUGGGUUUAAAGGAAGCGUAGGCGGAUGCUUAAGUCAGUUGUGAAAGUUUGCGGCUCAACCGUAAAAUUGCAGUUGAUACUGGGUGUCUUGAGUACAGUAGAGGCAGGCGGAAUUCGUGGUGUAGCGGUGAAAUGCUUAGAUAUCACGAAGAACUCCGAUUG
rnacentral:rRNA from 1 species